AUUUCUUUUUUUUGUCUUUUUUCAUUAACUUAAAUUUGUUCUUAUGGUAUCGUUUGGUUCGGGUAUAAGCAAGAACUAGCUAUUACAGUGAUAGGUACAAGUAUAGGGAUAAAAAAAAUAAUGUUUGGAUAAAAAUUGGGUUGUUUCCGAGGAUAAGAAUAAUUUUAGAUAGUUUUAUAUAGAAAAUAAAAAUGUUGGUGAGGAUAACCGAGAACUACUAUUCUCGCGUAAAAAAUUAGCGUUUGGAUAUAAAGGAAGGAUAAGGACAUAUUUCUAUCUCUAUCCCCUAACCAAACGCUGCAGAGCAGUUAGGCGAUUGAGAGGGUGGGGGCUAGUAGGGAAGACAAGAGGACAAACAUCCUGACCCCCCUCCCUAUCUGCAACUUUGUUUUACAUCAUUAUGUUUUGCGCAAAACAUAAAAAUAUAUUUAGCUAUUAGUUACUAUGUUUUAAUAAAUUAUUAUCAUGAUAAUUUUUUGUUUGGCUCUUCUCAAAUUUAAAUUCUAGCUUCGUUUCUGACUGUACUUAACUAUAAUGAAAUAUUUUUUAAAUUGCUAUUAGUUACUAAGUUUUAAUAAAUUAUUAUCAUGAUAAUUUUUUGUUUCGCUUAUAAAAUAGUAUUCUAUUUAGGCUAAAUUAUAGAAAACUUUUUAUAAAUAUUUAUUUUUUUAUUUUUAUUUUCUCACUUUCAAAAAUUUAUAUUUUUGCCCUCUUAAUAUUUCAGAAAUAUUUUCAGGAGUACGGUGUUAAUAGAAGGGGCAAAAUAACUAAAUUACUCAUACUUUUUCUAUAAGAAAAAACAUAUUUUUUUAAUAUAUUUCUAUCAUUUUGAAAGAUAUUUUCGGUAUAAAUUACAAAAAAAUAAACGAAAUAGUGAUGAAAUCCUGACGGAGGGGAAUAAAUACAAAAACUUAAAAAUUUAAAGAGGCAAAAUAUAAAUUUUUGAAAGUAAUGAAGAAAAAAUAAAAAAGAGAAUAUUUACAGAAAAAUUUCUGUAAUUUAGCAUUCUAUUUAAUAAUAAAUUUUUUC
rnacentral:lncRNA from 1 species